rnacentral:rRNA from 1 species
UGGUUCAGGCAUGCAAGUCGAACGAUCCCCGCAAGGGGAUAGUGGCAGAAGGGUUAGUAACACGUGGGCAAUCUACCCUCGAGUCGGGGAUAACUCCGCGAAAGCGGGGCUAAUACCCGAUAACAUCACUGGGUCGCAUGAUCGAGUGAUCAAAGGUGGCGCAAGCUGCCGAUUGAGGAGGAGCCCGCGGCCUAUCAGCUAGUUGGUGAGGUAACGGCCCACCAAGGCUUUUGACGGGUAGCUGGUCUAAGAGGACGAUCAGCAACAUUGGGACUGAGACACUGCCCAGACUCCUACGGGAGGCUGCAGUCGAGGAUCUUUAGCAAUGCCCGAAAGGGUGACUAUGCGACGCCGCGUGCAGGAUGAAGGCCUUCGGGUCGUAAACUGU